GUCAUACACCUUCAUCCAUGUAUGUGUGUUUGUAUAGGUGAUUUAUUACAUUAAUAAACAUUUUAAAAUAUUCAUUCUCCCUUCCCAGUUGUUACCUUGCAGUGAGAGGUGGAAUACUGAUCUAUGGUGUUCCAGUGUGCUGGGAACCUGGUUUGCCCCUUCACCGGGUGCAGACUAUGAGUAACUGCCUCGUUAGCUUAGGCAUUUACAGUGUCAAAACUUGCCUGUAAUAAUCCACAGCAACACACUGAUUGGCCAGAGCUAGGAAGACAG